UUGGUAGCUCAGUGGUUAGAGCAUCUGCCUGAGAACCAUAAGGUCUCAGGUUUGAUUCCUGGUCAA
rfam:Myotis lucifugus cont2.52691, whole genome shotgun sequence.